AUUCCCUCUUUCUUCGUGCCUCCUCCCUGCCAGUCGAGCGCCCAGACGAGGAGCUUGCUCCUCUGACGUUAGCGGCGGACGGGUGAGUAACACGUGGAUAACCUACCUAUAAGACUGGGAUAACUUCGGGAAACCGGAGCUAAUACCGGAUAAUAUAUUGAACCGCAUGGUUCAAUAGUGAAAGACGGUUUUGCUGUCACUUAUAGAUGGAUCCGCGCCGCAUUAGCUAGUUGGUAAGGUAACGGCUUACCAAGGCAACGAUGCGUAGCCGACCUGAGAGGGUUAUCGGCCACACUGGAACUGAGACACGGUCCAGACUCCUACGGGAGGCAGCAGUAGGGAAUCUUCCGCAAUGGGCGAAAGCCUGACGGAGCAACGCCGCGUGAGUGAUGAAGGUCUUCGGAUCGUAAAACUCUGUGAUUAGGGAAGAACAAAUGUGUAAGUAACUAUGCACGUCUUGACGGUACCUAAUCAGAAAGCCACGGCUAACUACGUG
rnacentral:rRNA from 1 species